GUUUGAUUCUUGCUUAAGACUGAUUUUGCAAUUCGGACAGUUCAGCUUUUUGAAGAAAUAUAGUUUAGGUUUAUUGGUUUAAUAAUUUAUAAACCUUAGAUUAUUAUAGUUGUGUAGCUUUCAGUGAAUGUGCACCAACAAAGUUUGCGGGCCUUUUGAUAUUAAAACAAAUCUGUUAAACCUUGUGCAAGUAACUGCUAAGCAAAUGACAAAGAUUACACAGUAGGAAGAUUUUUAUUUAUCCAAGUCAUAGCAGAAUAUCUGAUAAAUUAAUUUACAGCUGGACUUUGGGUCUAUGUUGUUUUGUCACUUUAUCAGCUGAUGGGAAUAUCCCUGACAAGACAUCACGCAGUUGUGGAGUUGCUUUACUGGUGAUGUUGAAAUUCUUACAGAUGUACUAAACAGCCAUCCAAAUAGAAUUUCAAAUCUUAGAAAUCUUAGAUGACUACAUCCUUUAAUGAGCACCUUUUUCAAUUUGUACUCUACCAUUCUUCCUCAAAUUUGUACAAGCAACCAUUUCAUUAAACCACUAAUGUAAUAUUUGUUCACAUGGUUUGAAAUGACAGACUUGUUUGUAUGUGGCAUGUCAGAGAAAUCAUACUUGGUGACUCUGAGACACUUUUAGCAAUUUUUUUAAAUAUAUAAAACAUGACACUAGAGACAAGGUAUUUUUUUUUUUUUUUUUAAGUGCAACAAAAAAUAUAUAAAAAAAACAUAUACUAAUACUUACAAAAAUGCGACAUAAUUAUCCAAAUUACAGCUGAUUGAUUCAUGAUGUGGAUGCCAAAAGUGUACUCUAUGUGCUCAUGGACAUGCAUUUAAAACCCAGAGUCCAUUUGUCCAUUCUGCACUCAUUUGCCAAACACGCUUCCUGAUGGAGGCUUGGGUUUCUCAAGCACCGUCUCGCUUCCAGAUCCUACUCCACUGAAAACAGAUGGCGCCACCUUCCCCAUGCGCUCUACACAACAGACAAAACACAACACUCUGAUUUCAGGGUUUUUUGCAGGUGAAAACUUUUUCCCCUUUGAAUUAAGUGUAUUUUUUCUGAACCCACUGGCAGAUAUUUGUUCUUAUUUGAAUCACAAAUGUAAAGAAUUAAAUUGUUGAGGAAGGAACAUCACUUUUUGCCGUGUGAUCAAAAGGUGGAGUAAAAGUUAUUUCUAUAUUCUAGUUAAUCUAUGUUAUUACAUUUUCAAAACAUACUCACUCUUUCAUUUAUUCCUUAAUUUUCUUUACUUGGUCUUAAAUUGACCUUCAAAAACCUACAAGGACCCUGAUAAUCCAUUAUAUACAAUACUAUUGUAUAGUAUGUAAUUACUGUACAUUACUAUUAUUAUUGUAUUCUUCAAUAUUAAAGUAUUGCGACAAUAAACCAUAGAAGGUUUCUUAAGUCUUCUAAUCUUUGUAUUACGAUCAAAAUUAAAUAAAAACCUUUUAAAAGUUCAAAAAGAUAUUACAUUCUUAUACAUCAUUUUCAAAAAGACAAUCCUUGUUCUAAUCUAAACUAUAAUAGCUAAUCUGGUGAUUUACGGUCCAAACAUGCCAAACUUACCACACUCCACCAUGACCUCGUAUGUUUUGCUCUUGACCUCUCCCUUCAGCCCCAGUUUACUGCGGGCUCCUUUCAGGUCCUCCUCCUUUACAACUGGCCUCUUCUUCUUCUUAACCUCUGACUAAUACAACUGAGACAUUCUGUAUGUUUGCGGGUCUGGUUUCUGGACAAGUUGGCGCCUGUGUACUUUGUCUUCUUUUGGUCCUGGCUCUUUUAUACCCUUGUUACCAGCUCAGUGUAACCCCCAUCCCCCCUCUCUCUCUUAUCAUUAUAUAUUAUUAGCACUGCAGUCAGUGUCAGAAAGCCUCUUUCUGAGCAUGAC
ensembl:lncRNA